rfam:Apaloderma vittatum contig35235, whole genome shotgun sequence.
GGCCGGUUAGCUCAGUCAGUAGAGCGUAGCCCUAACAACGCUAAGGUCGUGGGUUUGAUUCCCAUUCGGUCC